AUGAUGUACUUCCUGAAGUGGGAGUUCAGAAGGAAAGUCAGAGUGAUGCAAAGCAGGCAAAAUAACCCAGAUGAACCUAAGACUAAGAUCCGAAGACCACCAGCUGGCUCUGCGGUAACAAAACUGAUUGACAUCAGGAAAUUCAGCAGCCUGACCAGGCUGAUCCGAGUCACUGCCUGGGUUUGGAGAGCUGCAACGAAAUGGAAAGAAGUGUUGACCAGGAAUUCAGCCUCAGAUAAACCAAAGUGGGAGGAAAUUCUUUCAACAAACUGGAAGUCCAGAGGCAAACAAGCUGUACUCACUGUUGGGGAGUGUGAAGAUGCACUAAGAGACCUGUUCCUUGCAGCUCAAGAAGGUAUAACCUUUCAAGGCACCACUCUCAACAGACUCGCUGUUUACAGAGAUGAAGAGACUGGGCUCUUGGUUUGUGGAGGGAGGUUCAAGAUCUUUGAUGAGGACAAGACUGCUGUACCAAUUCUACCAUAUGAGGCAUGGAUAUCCACUCUCCUAGCCCAAGAGGCCCAUGAUGCAAACCAGGAAGAAAUAGCAGGUACACUCCUCCGGAUGAGGAAGAAAGCCUGGGUGAUAAAAGGCCGGAAGCUGGCUCAAAAGAGAGUUGACAACUGUGUGGUGUGCAGAAAGGCUAGGGCCAGAAAGUGCCAACAGCUCAUGAGUGACCUUCCACCCGAGCGUAUAACACCAGCCAGACCAUUUGAGUACACAACAGUGGACUUAUUUGGACCAUAUGAAGUCAAGGACGAGGUGAGAAAGAAAGUCAAGCUCAAGGUGUGGGGAAUUGUCUUCUGCUGUAUGGCAUCCAGAGCUAUACACACAGAUGUUGUCAGUGACCAGUCAACUGAAGGCUUCUUACUGGCCUACCAAAGAUUCACGGCACUGAGAGGGCAUCCAAAGAAACUGUGGUCAGAUCCUGGAAAGAACUUUGUGGGUGCCAGACCUGCCCUCAAAGAGCUUUACCACUUCCUGGAUCAACAAAUUACAUCUGAGCUUGAAAAUGAAGCUUCAAAGCAUGGAACAGAGUGGAGCUGGAAGAUCCACCCAGCAGACUCCCCUCACAGGAAUGGUGCUGCAGAAGCAGCUGUUCGCACUGUGAAGCAGGCCUUGCACAAUAUGAGAGGCGAAGGACUCUUCACAUGGAGUGAGUUUCAAACAUUUAUGUUCAUGGCUGCUAACCUUGCCAAUGAAAGGCCCAUAGAUGCCAGGACUCAGAGCCGGGAGGAAUGUAUAGAAUACAUCAGCCCUAAUUCUCUUCUGCUUGGAAGGACUGGACCUAGGGGAGACUUAGGAAGCUUGGAGUUUGAAGACUACUCCUACAAAAGGUUAAGAGUCAUUCAAGCAGAAGUUAACUGGUUCUGGAGGAAGUGGAGUCAGUUGGCUGGACCUAACCUGUUUGUGAGGAGUAAGUGGCACACAAAGCAGCGAAACGUGGCCGUUGGAGACGUCGGCUGGCUUGCAGACCAGAACGCUUUGAGGAGUCAGUAUAAGCUUGGUAGGGUCGUCAAUGUCAACGCUGACAAGGAGGGCAUUGUGAGAGAUGCAAAUAUACGAACCUUCCCAAGUUAUCCCAUCUCAACUUUGAAGCAUGUUUGUGGAGACAAAGCAAAGAAACGUUCAACCAAAAUCCCUGCUACAAUUCUUCACAGGGACGUCAGGCGUUUGGUUGUGUUAUUACCUGUAGAAGAGCAGAAGUAA
rnacentral:lncRNA from 8 species